CGGCAGGCCUUAUACAUGCAAGUCGAACGGUAACAUUGGUGCUUGCACCAGAUGACGAGUGGCGCACGGGUGCGUAACGCGUAUGCAACCUACCUUUUACUAGAGUAUAGCCCAGAGAAAUUUGGAUUAAUCCUCUAUAAUAUCAUUUGAUUUCAUGAUUAAUUGAUUAAAGUUUUAACGGUAAAAGAUGGGCAUGCGUCCUAUUAGUUUGUAGGUGAGGUAACGGCUCACCUAGACUACGAUAGGUAGGGGCCCUGAGAGGGGGAUCCCCCACACUGGUACUGAGACACGGACCAGACUCCUACGGGAGGCAGCAGUAAGGAAUAUUGGACAAUGGACGAAAGUCUGAUCCAGCCAUGCCGCGUGCAGGAUGAAAGCCCUAUGGGUUGUAAACUGCUUUUAUACAGGAAGAAACACUCCGACGUGUCGGAGCUUGACGGUACUGUAAGAAUAAGGAUCGG
rnacentral:rRNA from 1 species